AGCGAACGCUGGCGGCAGGCCUAAUACAUGCAAGUCGAGCGCACCUCCGGGUGAGCGGCGGACGGGUGAGUAACGCGUGGGAACGUGCCCUUUGGUACGGGAUAACUGAGGGAAACUUCAGCUAAUACCGUAUGUGCCCUACGGGGGAAAGAUUUAUCGCCAUUGGAGCGGCCCGCGUUGGAUUAGGUAGUUGGUGAGGUAAAGGCUCACCAAGCCUACGAUCCAUAGCUGGUCUGAGAGGAUGAUCAGCCACACUGGGACUGAGACACGGCCCAGACUCCUACGGGAGGCAGCAGUAGGGAAUCUUGCGCAAUGGGCGAAAGCCUGACGCAGCCAUGCCGCGUGAAUGAUGAAGGUCUUAGGAUUGUAAAAUUCUUUCACCGGGGAAGAUAAUGACGGUACCCGGAGAAGAAGCCCCGGCUAACUUCGUGCCAGCCGCCGCAGUAACAC
rnacentral:rRNA from 1 species